UACGUAGGGUGCGAGCGUUGCCCGGAUUUAUUGGGCGUAAAGGGCGUGUAGGCGGUCAAGUAAGUGGGAUGUGAAAUCCCUCAGCUCACCCGAGGACCUGCAUCCCAAACUGCUUGGCUUGAGUAUGGGAGAGGAUGAGGGAAUUCCUGGUGUAGCGGUGAAAUGCGUAGAUAUCAGGAGGAACACCGGUGGCGAAGGCGCUCAUCUGGCCCAAUACUGACGCUGAUGCGCGAAAGCUAGGGGAGCAAACGGG
rnacentral:rRNA from 1 species